AUUAAGAAGCCAUCCACACCGGCUAUUAUCAACUCUGGACACUGUCUGAAAGGCAUUUUUUUUCUUUGCGAUGAAAUGCGUAAUAUAUUUGAUGCUGACGGCUGAAGCACCUCAGAAUUAAGCAGGACUUUGCCCGCCGAGAGGCAAGAUGACUUGCUACGAACACUGGUAAGAUGAAGAAGACACCAAUCUUUUUUUUCUUGUGGGGGUAGACGACACCAAUCUUGAUGUGGUAUCGACGAUGCAAAAGAAAAACAUGUUUUAGCUGUAAUUUCUGUUCAUGAUAGGUAAUACAAACCAACCUGUAUCAAGUUUGCAACUCAAUCAAGAAUUAACAGAUGGAGAGGAUUAUCUUUUAUUGCUGCAUUAAACUCAAGAGCAUUAUGCAAUCUCGCCGUUUGCCGUGGCUAUUGGCUAUUGGACAUGGGAGUCCCUGGGCAAGUUGACAGCGAAGUCCAUGUUUUUCCAUGAUUAAGAUCGCAGCUGGGAAUGGUCAGCGUGUGCUCUUCUGGCGGAUAGGUGGAUCCAUGUUUUUUUACGCAUAGGCUUAGCUGCCGAAAGCAGGAUCCGGGAGAUUGAAGAAUUCUCUGUGGAGGGAGGACCUUUAUCAUGGAAGCGUUUCGCCAAGGACUACUAAAUAAACAAGAACAAGAAUGCAGAGUAAAUAUUCAUGGGUGAUGGCAUUCCCUUGGCUUGUUCCAAGCUUGGGGGAGUGCCCGGUAUCUUUAUCUUUUAUCUUUUGUGGUCAAGUUUAGUGUUGUACCAUGUCUAGGGAAGUUAUCUUAUGAAAUAGGUGUUUGCACUAAGGUCUAUCACUCCUUUGUGGAGAGUCUUGUAUCCGUGAGCGUGCAGUGUCGAUGAUGGAAUAUUAAUGAGAAGUCUGCUGGUUUCUUUACUGCAUUUGGUAUUCUCUUCAUGCAAUCGACUUUAUAUGUUGAUUCAUAUGGGAGUAUUGAUCUUAUAUAUCAG
rnacentral:lncRNA from 1 species